GACGAACGCUGGCGGCGUGCCUAACACAUGCAAGUCGAACGGACUUGACGGAAGCUUGCUUCUGUCGAGUUAGUGGCGGACGGGCGAGUAACGCGUGAGCAACCUGCCCUUCAGUGGGGAAUAACGACCGGAAACAGUCGCUAAUACCGCAUAACGUAUUCUGAUGGCAUCAUCGGGAUACCAAAGGAGCAAUUCGCUGAAGGAUGGGCUCGCGUCCGAUUAGCUAGUUGGUGAGGUAACGGCCCACCAAGGCGACGAUCGGUAGCCGAACUGAGAGGUUGAUCGGCCGCAUUGGGACUGAGACACGGCCCAG
rnacentral:rRNA from 1 species